CCCUUAGAUGUUCUGGGCCGCACGCGUGCUACACUGAGUGGAUCAGCGGGUCAGGUUGCGCGAAAGCGUUUCCUAAUCUUUAAAUCCGCUCGUGAUGGGGAUUGACGGUUGCAAUUUUCUGUCAUGAACGAGGAAUACCUUGUAAGCGCGGGUCAUCAUCCCGCGCUGAAUACGUCCCUGCCCUUUGUACACACCGCCCGUCGCUCCUACCGAUUGAGUGGUCCGGUGAGGCUUUGGGAUCUGAGCGGAAAGAGCGUUUCGCUGUUUCUGCUCGGAAAACUCAGUCGAACCUUACCAUUUAGAGGAAGGUGAAGUCGUAACA
rnacentral:rRNA from 1 species